rnacentral:rRNA from 1 species
UUGGAUGAUUGAAGGGAGUUGCUCCUAGUACGAGAGGACCGGAGUGAACGAACCUCUGGUGUUCGGGUUGUCACGCCAGUGGCACUGCCCGGUAGCUAAGUUCGGAAUCGAUAACCGCUGAAAGCAUCUAAGCGGGAAGCGAGCCCUGAGAUGAGUCAUCCCUGACCCCUUGAGGGUCCUAAAGGGCCGUUGGAGACCACAACGUUGAUAGGUGGGGUGUGUAAGCGCAGUGAUGUGUUGAGCUAACCCAUACUAAUUACCCGUGAGGCUUAACCAUACAACACCCAAGAAGUGUUCU